AUCCAGUUGAUGAGUCCCAAAUAGGACGAAACAGGAGUUAAAUUGGAU
rnacentral:hammerhead_ribozyme from 1 species